rnacentral:rRNA from 1 species
AUGGCCUCAAAGUUCUUCCUCCUUGCCCUUCUGGCCAUGUCGGCUUCUCGUGCUAUUGCCUCCGACCCAGGCCAGCUCCAGGAUUUCUGCGUCGCUGACAGAACAUCACAAGUUUUUGUCAAUGGAUUUGCAUGCAAAGACCCAAAGACCGCUGUGGCAGAAGAUUUCUUCUUCUCUGGCCUUCACAUGGCUGGGAACACGAGCAACAAGCAAGGAUCUGCUGUGACCGCAGUUAAUGUGGCGCAGAUUGCUGGGUUGAACACUUUGGGCAUCUCCCUGGUUCGCGUCGAUUAUGCACCCAAUGGUCAAAACGCACCCCACAUCCAUCCCCGGGCAACCGAGAUCCUCACCGUGCUGGAAGGCUCGCUCUAUGUUGGUUUCGUGACCUCAAACCCCGAGAACAAGUUGUUCGCAAAAUUUCUGAACAAAGGGGACGUGUUUGUGUUUCCGCAAGGGUUGAUUCACUUCCAGUUCAACUUGGGAACAAACAAAGCCAUAGCCAUUGCCGCGCUGAGCAGCAAGAACCCUGGGGUGAUCACCAUAGCCAAUGCGGUGUUCGGAUCCAAGCCAUCCAUCUCAGAUGAUAUCCUUGCCAAAGCCUUCCAGGUGGACAAGAACAUAGUAGACAAUAUCCAAGCUCAAUUCUAG